AUGAGUAUAUGUGUGUGAGUUAUAACUUGAUUAAUUUUGGUUCAUUUCCUUUCUCCUUUUUUAAAAAUGGAGAUUUCAUCAUGGCAGACUCUAAUAUGCCCUUGUUCUAUCCCAAUUCCAUUUUUUUUACUGCUUACAAUCACAUCCUCCAGGUUUAAUCAUUUGUAAUAUAGGCCUGUUUUUAGUUCAUUGGCUUCAUUAAAGUUUAAUUAAAGGAAUUAUGGUCUAUUCCUUGCAUUAGCUUUAUUUCCAUUAAAAAACCUUUUAACACUUCAAAAUAUUUCCAUAGAAACUGUAAAAUACAUCAAAUUGAUUGCAAUAGUCAAAGUAUGUGAUUUCUCAGAUAAGCUGUGAUUGGUCAUUGGGGCUUUCCUGAUUCCUUUGAGACUCCAGCUGGAGAGCACCUGGCACUCUCUAAUCCUUGGUUACAGGUGGGCUGAGAUAUCUGCAUUACAGAGGACUGGAAUUGGCCCCAAGUGGUGAGGUGUCUGUUCCUUGGCUCCUCCCGCACUCUGAGAGCGGUUAGAUGUGUAAACGCAUGAACAUUUCCAGAAAUUUAAACAAACGUUGUUGUGACUCAAUUCAAGGCAGCUUCUUUCAACUUCUAGACUGAUCGACUGCUGGACUGAUUCAACUGAAAAGAUCCUUCUGACCUCGAUUCCCCUAAGACGUUUCCUAUCAUCAUGAAGACUUUUCCAGGAUUCCUCCUCAUCUUUGCAGUUCUAUGGAGUGCUUUGAAACACCUGAAAGGACAGCUGGAGAAAGAAAGUCCAUAGAUGUUUUGUCGCAACACCAUGUCUGCCAUGAGCAAUGCAAUAAAGCCCAGUUUGAAAGAAUUGAAUUCAUUUCUUGUUGAUCCCGCCUUAACCAUUAAUGCCUGUUACAACAGGCAGAGUAAACAGCAGCUGUCUCCAGAAUCACUUAAUGAGAAGCUCCGAGAAGCAAAACAAUAAAGAAGAGCAAUAAAUCAGCCUCACCAGCAUGUUUUAAAGAAUAGAUCUAUAGAUCUGAUCCUUUGUUUCUCAUGGAAACAAAGUGAAAAUACUAAGAAAUGUCAAGGGGGUGAAAGAAAAAUAUACCUCUAGGUGCAUUUUGGAUCUCUGCAAAAGUUAAAACAUUUUUCUUUACUUACACAAGGCUUGCUAGAUUUGGUUGUUUCAUUUCACAGGUAAACCUUGUAAGCUUUCAACAAAGGACAUUUUGAAUUGCCUUUUGUUUUAUUGUGUAGUGACCUAUUCCUUAUCAUUGGAUGUUCUUUCUUCCUCUGGUGCCACAUUUUCUGAGGCACCCCAGUAUAUACAACUGAUUCUGUGUGAAUGUAUGUGCAUGGGCCUGUAUGAUGGCUAUGACCCAAUUCACCAGUUGGUAACACAUGAUUGGAAGGCCAAUGGCUUUCUUCACUCUACCCAUUUUGCAACCCUACUGCCUCCAGUGGCUACUGCCAACAUAAAUACUACUUUUCCACGGCUUUAAGGCAUAAAGAUGGCUAGAUAAGAAGUCGUCUUUGUGUUAAAGCAGAAUUGUACAUCUUCUUGGUGGCAUCAUUCUGCACUAAAGCAAGAAGGGCAUUUCCCAGAAACACUGUUUUGGAAAGUAAUUUCAGGAAUUAAACUAAUUUUGACAGUAGUUCAAAAAGUCCAUCCCUCAGUGGAUUCUAGUGAAAGGUUCCAUUCAUUCUCCACUCUUGAUGUUGCUGGACCUUAUUCAAAAUCUUCAUUUGCUUUCCACCAUGGUUCAUAUAGGUUAUUUUUAGUUUCUGUACAAUGUGAGAUGUGAACCAAUACUAUUGCUUUUCAGAGAGAGGCAGUUUUAUAAAUCUCUGGUGAUGUAAGGGAAGAAUGGUUAUGAAUCCAGUGUUCCCUUUUUCUUUUCUUGGCUUUCU